UAUCCCAUAGUUCUGGAUUUAAAAACAUAACAUGUCUACUGAAAAAAAAUCCACAUGAAAAGAGAGGUAAAUUUAGGCUUGUUUUCUUUUAAAAUGUUUGAUUUUCAAUUACUGUCUGCUCAAUGUUGUAUUUAUUGCAGCACUAAUGCCGCUAGGGUCUUUAAAAAGAGUUCACAUGGAUGACGUGACACAGGUGUAUGCUUUUAUAGCAGGGGUUGGGAACCUGUGGCUCGCGAGCCAUCCCUGGCUCUUUUGGUGGUUGCAUAUGGCUUGCGGAGCCCUCAUGACGACAGACUGUAGAUGUGAUUUCUGUCGUACAGAGAAGGUUUGUCCUAGUGGGGUUGUUGUAGUUAGGUGUGGGAGGCAACGGAAAUAACAUAGAGACAGUUUGGCCUAGUGGGGUUGCCGUAGUUUUUGCGUGGUAGUCGAUGUCCAGCGGUGCAAAAGGGUCCAACGGUGAUCGUGUCGGAAAAACUAAUUAUGAAAACGGUUUUGACAAAGGUUGCUCAGAGCAAAAAAACAUGAGGAAUACCGAAGUUUUCAACAAGAAUGGACAGCCUUUGAGAGGGGGGUUUCUGCUGUGUGUUUAAAUUCACAGAUAGGGAGUAUGCCAAAGCAUUUAUUUUCGACCUUGCCAAUAAACAUUUUGCCAACUUUGCAUAAAGACAAGAUAAUCACACAAAUAAAAGACAUGGCUUUGUCGGUAAGAACUGUUCACCAUUGUACCGGCAUGAUGGCAAAUCAAAUUGAAUAACGGUCACGAUAAACGAAUAGAAGUCUCAAUGCCUUCGUGACGAUGUAUGAAACAAACUCCAAAGCCAUCAUUAAUGGUAAGAAGUACUUUUGUCAUCAUUGGUGAGCAACAGUGUAACAAUGUUAUUUAAAAUAAUUCAGAGACUUAUUGGACUUUGAAAGUGUUGGUAUUACAUAAAUGUGCAAAUACACCUGUACUUAGUUUUUAAAAUACUGUAUGUGUCACGUCCCAUCGGAAACGAGAGUAGGACCCAAAUGCAGGAAAGGGUCGGAAUACGCAAGGUAGUUCAAGAAGAGACACGUUUAUUGUAUGCAGAGGUCGGGGAUCGAGCAGGCAGUCCGGUGCAGCAGCGGUAGUUGGGACGUCGAGCGACGAGAACAGAUGAGCGAACAGGCAGGAGUCGGUACACGGGGAAACAAUCAACGCAGCCAGAAGUGUCAAGGAGUCAGGCUUACAGGGUUGGUCGGAGAACGGACGAAGGUCGGUACGCACAGGUUCAGUCAGGAAUACGAGAGUGCUGGAACGGGACAUAAAGCUCAACGAACUGGCGGAGGACCAGUCGUCACCGGGUCCUAUAUAUACGGGGGAUGAUCAGGCCGCAUGAGGCACAGGUGUGUGCCUCCCAAUCAGCGCAGCCGCACAGCUCGUGCUGAAGCGGCAGGAUCAUGACAGUAUGGCUCUUUUGAAAUUACAAUUUUAAAUAUUUGGCCUUUAUGGCUCUCUCAGUCGAAAAGGUUCCCGACCCCUGUUUUAUAGGCUUACUGUAUGGUGGAGACAUCGUAUUUUUGGCAGAUUUUGAUGUGCACGGAUGCCUAGCGCCGUGUUUGUCCUAUUUGAAGUGAUAACACCUUAAUAGCAGUGAUUUUUCAGGAUAUAAAAUUUAUGAUUGAUCAUUAUUUUGAGGCAGUAGCAGUUGUGUUUAUGUGAGAGUGCAAAGAUAUGUGACAGCAAUAUCAGGUGUAAAACCAACUUCAAGAAAGUGGUCUUUAGAAACUCGAGCUGUUUAUUUUUUUUCCCUGACAAGUUGUUAUUUUGGAGGUGCAAGUAUUCCACCCAACAGUGAUCAUAUAUAAAAUAGACGUAAAUAGUGCCACUUUAUACGAUAGUACAAAGUAUGAAAGGUGGGGAGAUUUAAAACAAAAAGCAGAUCACAGACGAAUGAAUCGCUCUUCAGUUACUCAGUAUACUAGUCCACCAUUUUACUGAACAAAUCACUCAAUUCACUUAAGUCCCUCCCCCUCACGCUGGCUGCUCAUUGGUUAUUCGCUGAAGUGAGUGACAACGCCGGCAAGUCGCAAAUCGCAUGGCAGUACAUUUAAUGCAGUUCCGCCCCCACCAACACGCUUGUUGCACAUUGGUCAUUUGCCGAAGAUUUAAAAGUCACAAACACUUCAACAGUUCUGUUUUUGCUCCGAGGCGACUCGCUCGCAUCCCAGUGGUGGCCAGGUGAAAAGAACAAAUCAUUUCAUAAACUGAUUCGGGUCACUUCAUUCAUGAAAAAGAUUCAUUCUUCUUAACGAAUCUUUCGGGAAAGAACCAAACACAAUCUGGACUGAGAGCCGUUUUCCCCGCAGCAAACACAUCACGAGAAACAAGACAAACCCUGAGAGGAUGAAUGCUUUGGCAUCACAAAGACAGAGAAUAGGCACAAUCUGAUCAAUCUGAGUAUGUAUUGUUAGAAGACCUCCUUUGAGUGAGAACAGAAGCAAGCUGGCUGCCGUGGAAACAAAAAGGCCUUGCAGGGCAAAGCCUGCGCACUAAGUCACACCUGUUCCUCUUUUGCAAGAUCCACAGGUGGCAAACAGCUGGCCACAGAGAAGCAAACGAUGUUAGGAAAUGAUGUUAACAAGCGUCUGCCAGAUAAAAUGGCAAGACAAAAACCAAACAAGCAAACAUGUUGAAAAAUAGUUUACGGCUUUGGAGAAAAACUCUAUUAAAGUCAUUUCAGAAAGCAGCAAAAGGAAAAUAAAUCCUUGAAUGAUAACAUUCUCAAAAGCCUUCUCUAACUUUAUUCCUUUUGGGCGGAGAUAAAAAUGAUCAAGAACAAGGACUAGAUCUGAACUUGAACAUCAAACCGAACGGCUAAAAGCACUGUGCCACAGUAUCUGUACAGAAUGUACAAUUCCAAAGAGUAGGCGUUUAUACAGUAUAUGAGGAAAUAUUUGUGAGUGGGGAUUGUCAAGGAUGUGUGUGUGUGUGUGUGCGUGCGCAGGUGGCAUGGUUGAGGGGCAAAGGUUAAUUUCGCCCUGCAGUGAAGAGCCCUUGAUCAAGAGCAGACUGAUCCCUGUUUAAUUACCUUCCGUCUACAUUUGAGCAGUUCACACUGGGUCAUGUGUGUGCAUCACUGAGCGUGUUGGGAAUGGAUGAUUUUGGCUUCUGGGGCACACACUGACAGAGUCAGAUGGGAAGAUGAGCCAUGUCUUAAGUUUACAUUAAGAUGCGUAAGGGCUGGUUUGUUUUGUGAGUGCUUGUUGUUUGUUAGUGCAAUCCUGGUGGAGAAGUGUGAUGGGUUGUUUGUGCAUUGAGGAUGUCGAGUGGAAAUGAGGAGUUUAAAAAGUUGGAAAGUUGUGGUGUGAAAUGAGUGACAUUUUUUACCUCGCCCUGUACAUGACACAUUCCCUCUUGCUGUCCAAUUUUAAAAUUUGUCUUAAAAGCCGUUUUUAUUACUUGGCUUUGAAUACAGUGCUAAGUUCUGCCCUUGUUUUAGUGUCUUGUUUUGUUUUUUUAAACGUUUUUUAGAUUUCGUUAGUUUUUGUGGUUAUGUUUUAUGUUUGUCUUUUAUUAUA